GAGACUCUGUGCGCGUGCAUAUCAAUAAGCGGAGGAAAAGAAACUAACAAGGAUUCCCCUAGUAACGGCGAGUGAAGCGGGAAGAGCUCAAAUUUGAAAUCUUAAAGGGUUUCCCUUUACGAAUUGUAGUUUAAAGAAGUGUUUUCUGUUGGAGUUUUGGUAAAAGUUCUUUGGAAUAGGACAUCAUAGAGGGUGAGAAUCCCGUAUUUGACCAUUAUUUCCAGCUGUGUGAUACACUUUCAAAGAGUCGGAUUGUUUGGGAAUGCAGUCCAAAAUGGGUGGUAAAUUUCAUCUAAAGCUAAAUAUUGGCGAGAGACCGAUAGCGAACAAGUACCGUGAGGGAAAGAUGAGAAGAACUUUGAAAAGAGAGUUAAACAGUACGUGAAAUUGUCAAAAGGGAAGCGUUUGACACCAGUGUUGUUUAGUUGAAAAUCAAUUCAAUAAUUUUUGAUUUUAAGUAGUAUUGACUUCAUCAGCUUGCUGCUUUCUUUUCGGAAAUUAUUGAAUGCACUUUUCAGUUAACAAGUCAACAUCAAUUUCUUUUGUUGUAAAAGGGUAAGAGGAAGGUGGCUUACGCUUCGGCGUCAAGUGUUUAUAGCCUUUUAUCCUCUGCAAUCGGAGAGAUUGAGGACCUGCAGCGUAGACUCCUUCGGGGGUUAGAUACACUUGGUGCUAAGCUAUAGCCUUGUAUAGACAACUUGUUGACUAUGCUCAGUCAUGUAGCUUACUCGCUUGUGCUAUUUUACCUACGCUUAGGAUGUUGACAGCAGUAUAGACUGU
rnacentral:rRNA from 1 species